UGCCUUGAGACCACCCAUGAACAGCUGUUGAAGACCACCAUCAAAAAGGUCUUUGCUUUGCCCUUGACGGGCAAAGCGACACAGAGCCAGGACUUCUACCAGCAGACGGUAAAUGCAUGCAUAAACAUGCUGAGCGGCUUGCUGUCGGAGGCCCCCUCCCUGAAGACCCUGCAGCAGAUAUUGGAGGAAAGGAAGUGCGGAGGAGGGUGCAGCUAAGAAAGGGCCACGUGGUGAAAUGGGCCAGAGAAGACUAUUUCGUCUCUGGCCCCUCCAUAUACCACAAUGACAUCUCAAAAGUGGCCAAGGUAGGUGUGGCUUUUUGGACUCUUUCUUGCUAAGACCGCAGCCAGCUCCCAGAUAGCAGAGGUUUGUCCAUUCGGGCCAAUGGGGCCCUGCCCCACAAACCUCCUCAGGCUCAAAACAGAGGCAGGGGGGAGCAGAUU